rnacentral:rRNA from 1 species
AGCGAACGCUGGCGGCAGGCUUAACACAUGCAAGUCGAACGGGCUUCUUCGGAAGUCAGUGGCCGACGGGUGAGUAACACGUGGUAACGUGCCCUUCGGUUCGGUAUCACUCAGGGAAACUUGAGCUAAUACAGGCUACGCCAUUUUGGGGUAAGGUUUACUUCCGUAGGAUCCGAUAGCGUCUGAUUAGCUUGUUGGUGGGGGUACGUGAUUCCAAGGCGAAGUUCAUUAUCUGGACUGAGAGGAUGUGCAGACACACUGAGACUGAGACACGGCAGAGACUCCUACGGGAGGCAGCAGUGGGGAAUAGUGGAAAAUGGGCGCAAGCCUGAUCCAGCCAUGCCGCGUGAGUGAUGAAGGCCUUAGAGUUGUAAAGCGCUAGUGUCCGUGACGAUAAUGACGGUACCGGAAGAAAAAGCCCCGGCUAACUUCGUG